rnacentral:rRNA from 1 species
CCCUUAGAUGUUCUGGGCUGCACGCGCGCUACACUGUCGGAUUCAGCGAGUCAUAUCCUUAACCGAAAGGUUUGGGUAAUCUUUUGAAAGUCCGACGUGAUGGGGAUUGUUCAUUGCAAUUAUUGAUCAUGAACGAGGAAUUCCUAGUAAGCGCGAGUCAUCAGCUCGCGUUGAUUACGUCCCUGCCCUUUGUACACACCGCCCGUCGCUACUACCGAUUGAAUGGUUUAGUGAGAUCUUCGGAUUGGCGCCUACGCGGCUUCUCUGAGGCCACGCUGGAUGCCGAAAAGUUGCUCAAACUGUAUCAUUUAGAGGAAGUAAAAGUCGUAACA